rnacentral:lncRNA from 1 species
AUCCUUACCGGCUUUGCUUUCGGCGUCAGGCCAUGGUUCCUUGGAGUGGCAUUUGUUCGGUUCUGGUCAGUUUCCCUGACCGUAUGCGCCGCAUUCAUUUCUUACUCUUCAGUUGUUCGCAUCGACCUCUCAGAUAAGGCCAUCACCAUGAAGGCUUGUUUAGAUGUUCUGUUCCUAUUGGGGACGAUUCUCCUCAUUGUAUAUGGUAUUUGGCACAUCAGGGAAGAUGGUUAUGGAGGAACCGACAACGAUUUAUGUGAGCCACUGAACCUCGAGACCAAUGGUGAUGGUGACACGGCUCAUUCUGCCAGUCAGGUGGCCCCUUUUGCAAAAGCCGGGUUUUGGACCACUAUUGCAAAAGCCGGGUUUUGCAAAAGACUUGUCACUUUUAGACCACGCAGAUCGGGCACACAACCAGUACUUGAUGUUCUUCGAGAAGAUGAACAGCAACAAGCAGCUGCAGGGAAAUGGCACGCCAUCGGUCUUUUGGACAAUCCUUUCCUGUCACAAAAGUGGGAUCAUGGUCUCAGGUUUAUUUACGUUAGUAAAGGUGCUCACACUAUCUUCAGGCCCAUUGCUUCUCGAAGGCAUUCGUCAAUGUUUCCUAGGGGAAAGGGACCUUUACAUAUGAAGCCUAUGUCCUGGCUGCAGCACUGUUCUUUUGCAAAUGUUGUGAAUCUUUGUCUCAGAGGCAGUGGUAUUUCCGAACUCGGAGGUUGGGACUGCAGGUAAGGUCAUUCCUGUCAGCUGCUAUCUAUAAGAAGCAACAGAAAUUAUCCAACACAGCAAAAAUGGAGCAUUCUUCUGCAGAGAUCAUGAGCUGUCACUGUCGACGCCUACAGGAUCGGGGAAUUCCCAUACCGGUUCCAUCAAACAUGGACGGCAAGUCUUCAACUUUGCAUUGCUCUGUCGAUUCUGUAUAAUGCAGUUGGUCUUGCCAUGACUGCAUCACUGGUUGUCAUCGUAAUCACUGUGCUUUGCAAUGCUCCAGUAGCCAAACUGCAACACAAAUUUCAGAGUGAACUCAGGAAAGCGCAAGAUGUGAGACUGAAGGCCAUGUCCGAGUCCUUAACUCAUAUGAAAGUCUUGAAACUUUAUGCAUGGGAGAAGCAUUUCAAGAUGGUCAUCGAGGGGUUAAGGGAGGUUGAAUAUAAGUGGUUGUCAGCAUUCCAGCUUAGUAAAGCAUACAGCAGAGUGCUGUUCUGGGCAUCACCGGUUUUUGUUUCGGCUGCAACCUUCCUCACAUGCUACCUUUUGAAGAUUCCUCUAGAUGCUAGCAAUGUCUUCACCCUUGUUGCAACUCUGAGCCUUGUGCAAGAUCCAAU